rnacentral:rRNA from 1 species
GACGAACGCUGGCGGCGCGCUUAACACAUGCAAGUCGAACGGAAAGGCCUGCUUUCCCUUGUGGAUUGCGGGUACUCGAGUGGCGAACGGGUGAGUAACACGUGAGUGAUCUGCCCCCAACUUGGGUAUAAGCCUGGGAAACUGGGUCUAAUUCCCGAUAGGACUGCAGGGUGGUGCCUGUGGUGGAAAACGAUUUUCUAGUGGAUGGGGAUGAGCUCGCGGCCUAUCAGCUUGUUGGUGGGGUAAUGGCCUACCAAGGCGGCGACGGGUAGCCGGCCUGAGAGGGUGGACGGCGACAUUGAGACUGAGAUACGGCCCAGACUCCGACGGGCGGCAGCAGUGGGGAAUAGUGCACGAUGGGCGGAAGCCUGAUGAAGCGACGCAGCGUGGGGGAUGACGGCCUUCGGGUUGUAAACUCCUUUCGACCGCGAGGAAGCCACCUGGUUGGAAGGGUGGUGACGGUAGUGGUAGAAGAAGCACCGGCUAACUACGUG